rnacentral:lncRNA from 12 species
GAAAGAUUUGUGUGAUUCAAUGACUUUCAUUUUUUUCUGGUCCACAUGUGCCUCUCUGUAAACAGAAAAGUGAAUUGCCUCAUGCAUGAGAAUGUCUGAUGUGUUUCUGGAGUGCAAGUGAGGUGACCUCAGAAGUUAUUGUUUCAUUUUGAGCCCACAAAUUAACUCUCUCUCUCUCUCUCUCUCUCUCUCUCUGGCUUUCUCAGCCCAAUGGACACGAGGGACCUUCAGGAGAAUAAUAGGCAAACCCAGGGAAAGAUGGAUGCUGGUACGGUUAAAACGCCACAUAACUGGAAAUUAAAGGGGAAAAUCUAAUGUUUCAGUGGGAAGUCUUCAGUGACGAUGACCCCCCGU